AUUGAAAGCUGGCGGCAGGCCUAACACAUGCAAGUCGAACGAGUGGCGGACGGGUGAGUAAAGUCUGGGAAACUGCCCGAUGGAGGGGGAUAACAACUGGAAACGGUAGCUAAUAAAGCAUACCCUCGGAUGUGCCCAGAUGGGAUUAGCUAGUAGGUGGGGGAACGGCUCACCUAUGCGACGAUCCCUAGCUGGUCUGAGAGGAUGACCAGCCACACUGGAACUGAGACACGGUCCAGACUCCUACGGGAGGCAGCAGUGGGGAAUAUUGCACAAUGGGCGCAAGCCUGAUGCAGCCAUGCCGCGUGUAUGAAGAAGGCCUUCGGGUUGUAAAGUACUUUCAGCGAGGAGGCGUUACUCGCAGAAGAAGCACCGGCUAACUCCGUGCCAGCAGCCGCGGUAAUAC
rnacentral:rRNA from 1 species